AUUGAACGCUGGCGGCAUGCCUUGCACAUGCAAGUCGAACGGCAGCGGGGGAGAAGCUUGCUUUUCCUGCCGGCGAGUGGCGAACGGGUGAGUAAUACAUCGGAACGUGCCCUGUAGUGGGGGAUAACUAGUCGAAAGAUUAGCUAAUACCGCAUACGACCUGAGGGUGAAAGUGGGGGACCGCAAGGCCUCAUGCUAUAGGAGCGGCCGAUGUCUGAUUAGCUAGUUGGUGGGGUAAAGGCCUACCAAGGCGACGAUCAGUAGCUGGUCUGAGAGGGCGAUCAGCCACACUGGGACUGAGACACGGCCCAGACUCCUACGGGAGGCAGCAGUGGGGAAUUUUGGACAAUGGGCGAAAGCCUGAUCCAGCAAUGCCGCGUGUGUGAAGAAGGCCUUCGGGUUGUAAAGCACUUUUGUCCGGAAAGAAAUGGCUCUGGUUAAUACCUGGGGUCGAUGACGGUACCGGAAGAAUAAGGACCGGCUAACUACGUGCCAGCCGCCGCGGUAA
rnacentral:rRNA from 1 species